AACCUCUGUAGUACAUCUGUUUUGUGCUUCUAGAAUUAUUUUAAUACUUUCUCUUAUUCAAGGGUCAUGAUCAGAGUUCUACUCUUGCCCAGCACUCUGUUGAAUUGACAUUACCCAAUCACCAUCCAUUUCAUAGAGAUUUGCUUCGCUAUGCAAAACUCAUGGAGUGGCUCAAGAACACAGAUUAUGAAAAAUAUGACGGGUUAACAAAGAAUUACAUGGAUUAUUUAUCACGUCUAUAUGAAAGGGAAAUAAAAGAUUUCUUUGAAGUUGCCAAGAUCAAGAUGACAGGCACAACCAAAGAAGGAAAAAAGUUUGGUAAGCUUCUAGGAGGCGUAUAUCUUUCUUUGAUUUUUAUUAUUUACUUAUAAUGGGUAUUUUCUAACAUCUUGGGGCAAUUUUAUAAUGGUCUAAAAUUGUUCACUUUUUGCAAGGUGAAAGUUGGGUAAGAAAUAUGAUUGAUGAUAUUCUUCUAGCUUCCCCAAGGCCAAAGAAUUACAACUGAAUUCUUGUGAAAUGGAGUAAGUUGGAAGGAUAAGAAAUGAUAUUUCUCAAAUUUUAAAUUUACACUCAAGUUUUUAAUUAUCACACAAUCUUAUUACUGUAACUAUCCUAUUUCAUUACUGUAACAAAUUUGGAAAAUCAGCUUUUGGAGUUAAAGAAAGACUGAGCAGCGCAUGUGUUUAUGUUUUUUUCUUCUGCUAGUCUCCUUUUAUUGAGACUUCAGAUUUUGAAGAAGCUAUUUUUAACUUUGAUUCUACAUGAGCAAACUUGUGUGAGAUUUGCUAUGUAGUCAAAAACUAGAUACUUAGUAACUUGUAGGUCUUCCUAUUUGAAGGAGUAUGUGUUCCUCAUAAGUAGAACGUCUAGUAUGAGUAUAGAAGUGAAGCUUUAAAACAAAACUGAAUAAGUAGCAACAACAGUAUAGAAAUAUACAUAAAUUGACUAUAUUGUAUUUUCAAAUGCACAGGUUCAAAAUGUUGAAGAUAUUUAUAUGUGUCACAGUUUGCUUGUUUCCAAACUCUGAAUUCAAAACUAAUAAGUUAUUUCAAGCCUAUUUUGGGUUCUGUUGAUGUUGGAAAACAGAGAAAAGUAAUGAGAGUAAAGAAGUGGGAUAGUGGUGAGGCUUUGAGUAAGGGGGGGAGGGCAGCUGGAAGGAUUAGUCUUGGCGAGCUGUUGGACAUGGAGGACAAGUGGUGCCAUAGUCUGACAUUGUCACAACAGUUAAAUUUCUAAAGCCUGGAAAUCUAUCUUACUGGUAGAACUGGACACUUUUAUAAAUACAACCUAAUAUAAAUUGACUUUUAAAACAUUAUAUCCUAGCACUUCAUUUGUGAUCUGUGUUUGUGAUGAAAUGGUUUUUGUAGCAGUUACAUUCCUGAUGUCUGUAAAUGUUGUAAUCUGACAUUUUGGAGAAAGAGGUCCUUCAAUUCACAAGUGCAAGAGCUGCAUUUGAGAAGGCUUCUGUUGUGUGUUUGUGCAAAUUUUAAGCACAUUUGAACUUUGCACAGAAUAGUCUAGGAAGAGAGUAACAAAGGAUAUUUUAACCAGUUCUCUUGGUUUAAUUUCUUUUAUAAUGUUACGUUUUCAGUCAUACAAAGCUGUCUGCUUGUUUGAGUUUUGCUGGAGAUUGACUUACAUAGAAAACUUGGCCCAAGUGUGCAGUCCUGUGAAAUCUGGUAGGCACCAAUCACAAAGCCAAAACUAAAAGUGAAGACUCUCCUGGAAUUCUAAUGCUAUGAAUGGAAAUUAUGCUAUUAAAAUGGCUAGCAGUGGCCUUGUAUUUGGGGCAACAAGCUAAUUUGAUAAUGUAUUACACCAAUAAAACUUCACUCCUGAGAACUAAUAGUGAUUUUAUUGGUAUCACUUGCAAAGAUGGAAAAGCAAAUUAUCUAUGUUUAAGAAGCUAUAUAUAAGAAGUUAUAUGAAUACGAUUUCAUUUCAUUUAAAUAUCAAGUUAUGUAUUUAGUUUGUAACAGCUUAUAAUGAUGUGUAAUUUCAAAACAUUCCAUAUUGAAUAUAAUGAUUGCAAAGCUACUGGUUGUGCAUUAAUUCAAAAUAUAUCACUUAUUAGCAAACUUUUAAGAAAUAGCGUAGGUGUAUAAUGCUCCAGUUGUACUCAGACACUGAGGAUGAUCUGUGUCCAAGCUGUGUUGGUUUGUGUUCCUGCUUUUUUUUGUGCUUUGGGAAUAGCACUACUCUUUGAAACCCUCAAACGCAGUGGGGAUGCUGGGAGAAUUCUGUUAUUCUGUGCUAAUGCAAGGUUCUUUGUCUGCAUUUUUAUGGCAAAAA